UAGAGUUUGAUCCUGGCUCAGAGCGAACGCUGGCGGCAGGCUUAACACAUGCAAGUCGAGCGGGCGUAGCAAUACGUCAGCGGCAGACGGGUGAGUAACGCGUGGGAACAUACCUUUUGGUUCGGAACAACACAGGGAAAUUGUGCUAAUACCGGAUAAGCCCUUACGGGGAAAGAUUUAUCGCCGAAAGAUUGGCCCGCGUCUGAUUAGCUAGUUGGUGAGGUAAUGGCUCACCAAGGCGACGAUCAGUAGCUGGUCUGAGAGGAUGAUCAGCCACAUUGGGACUGAGACACGGCCCAAACUCCUACGGGAGGCAGCAGUGGGGAAUACUGGACAAUGGGGGCAACCCUGAUCCAGCCAUGCCGCGUGAGUGAUGAAGGCCCUAGGGUUGUAAAGCUCUUUUGUGCGGGAAGAUAAUGACGGUACCGCAAGAAUAAGCCCCGGCUAACUUCGUGCCAGCAGCCGCGGUAAUACGAAGGGGGCUAGCGUUGCUCGGAAUCACUGGGCGUAAAGGGUGCGUAGGCGGGUCUUUAAGUCAGGGGUGAAAUCCUGGAGCUCAACUCCAGAACUGCCUUUGAUACUGAAGAUCUUGAGUUCGGGAGAGGUGAGUGGAACUGCGAGUGUAGAGGUGAAAUUCGUAGAUAUUCGCAAGAACACCCAGUGGCGAAGGCGGCUCACUGGCCCGAUACUGAAGAUAUUCGCAAGAACCACCCAGUGGCGAAGGCGGCUCACUGGCCCGAUAC
rnacentral:rRNA from 1 species